UACAGAGGUCCCAAGCGUUGUUCGGAUUCACUGGGCGUAAAGGGUGCGUAGGUGGUGAGGUAAGUCGGAUGUGAAAUCUCCAAGCUCAACUUGGAAACUGCAUUGGAAACUACCUUGCUAGAGGAUUUGAGGGGGGAUUGGAAUACUUGGUGUAGCAGUGAAAUGCGUAGAUAUCAAGUGGAACACCAGUGGCGAAGGCGGCUCACUGGUCCGGUACUGACGCUGAGGUGCGAAAGCGUGGGGAGCAAACAGG
rnacentral:rRNA from 1 species